UACGUAGGGCGCAAGCGUUGUCCGGAAUUAUUGGGCGUAAAGAGCUCGUAGGCGGUCUGUCGCGUCUGCUGUGAAAUCGCGAGGCUCAACCUCGCGCCUGCAGUGGGUACGGGCAGACUAGAGUGCGGUAGGGGAGAUUGGAAUUCCUGGUGUAGCGGUGGAAUGCGCAGAUAUCAGGAGGAACACCGAUGGCGAAGGCAGAUCUCUGGGCCGUAACUGACGCUGAGGAGCGAAAGCAUGGGGAGCGAACAGG
rnacentral:rRNA from 1 species